UUCAGAGGCAUCACUCAGUGUUGCAGAGGCAAACUGAAAAAGCAAACAUUGAUUACCAAGGUUUUAUUGCAAUCAACAAACUCCAUUGUUGCCAGAGAAGCUCGGGAGAUGCAGCUUAUCUAAAAUCCAGAGUUAUCUGCGUGUCACACGAGGCCUUUCUGAAGCAAAUACACAGAUUGUGUUUCUAAGCCAAAGGAGCUCAUGCUUGCUGGAGCAGACUCUUGGAAGUGAUGUUGGCUGCUUAGAGGUCUCCUUGCUGAUUUUCAGGCUGGAAAUUUAAGAGGAAAG
rnacentral:lncRNA from 1 species